GCAGUGCAAGUGACAGCGAUUUGCGAGGGCGCGCGAGGGCUCGCACGCCAUACAAGUUCACUGCUCCAGAGCCCUCGCAUUAAAGAGCUUGCGAGCCAAGGUGGAUUUAAGAAGAUCAGGUGGUGGAUUGGCGGUUUUAGGGGGUCGCCAUCUUGGAGAGACCUUAUGUCAUUUUACACAUGAAUGUAAACAACGCUCGUGCCGGCUGCAAAAAUCAUCGUCCAUAAACAGUGAUAGAUACACGAGCUGCGUUCAUAUUAUUUUACGUAUAUAUAUACAUAUAUAUAUUAUGUAUUUGUCUUUAUGUGUGUUAUUUAAAAGCAUUAACAUUUGUUCUGUUGUGGCACAGUGCUCAUUUUCGGCCAGAAUCAAAAUGGAUUCUUGUUUAUUAUGUAGGAUAUAUGACCUUCAGUUGCCGGCUGCAAUCAAAAUGGACAUCCCCAUUGUUCAACAAAACACCAUUGAAGCGCUGUAUUUCCUAACCAUUUCUGUAUUUUUUAGGAUAGUUCAUACGUAUACAGGCUGUGUUUUCGUCAUGCAUACUGUAGUGAAAACGACGGAUACUUCCGUAACCUGAUUCUACUCCUGCACUUCAACAUUAUUUCCCAUCCGGGAAAGCAAUGAACUUCGCACACAGAUGAAAAGAAAAAUGAAUCUUUUACUGAUAGAUUUGCGAUCGGCUACAAGCUUUUUUUUGUAUUUUUAGGUUAGAACAGUGUAUUGUAGCCCUGAGAAAUGUUCGCGAACUAUGUUCAUACAUUACGUAUUUGGAAUUGUAAUGGGUUGCCAGAAUUGCAUUCACGGCCGCUUCCAAACAUUCCUACUCUGACUUCGAUUCCAGCUAUAUAAAACCAACGAUAGCCGGUGCCGACUCUGGACGGCUGGAACUUUUCGACGAUUCCGACGGCUCCCCUCGGCCCCAGAAGAUUUCGAGCAAGUAGUUGUGCAACUACCCUCGAUAUGAAAAAAUGACCAAAAGAGAGAUAUGAAAUGACGAAUGAAGUUGCUAAUAGCGUGUUGGAUCGUAUACUUGCGCUGAUGUAAUGCAAAAAAACAGAUGAGAAUAGCGGUAGUAUCAUAAUAGAACAUACAAUCAAAGUGCCAAGGAUAAGAGCAUUAAGGGCAUCAAUGAGGAUAGCGGAGCCAAUGGAGUAUUGUGCACAGUAGUGAUGGGUAAAACGGCUCCGAAGUCGGAGACGGCUCAGGUCGGCUCCAAACAAUUUCUGAGCAGGCUCUGCACCAACGGCCCCGCUUCAACGGCUCCGGAGCUGGCUCGUCACCAAUAGCUCCGGAACCGGCUCCUCACCUAAGGCUCAGGCCUUGAAGCGAAGCCGUGGAUGUGGAGCCGGCUCCGGAGCCGUUAGUGCGCUCCGAAACACCCAUCACUAGGGCACAGGGUCGUCUAAAAGCCAAUCCAAGACAUACCAAGCAUACAAAAUAAUAAGAUAAAUCCGCAGACCUAUUGCUAGAAAGACUAGUUAGAAAGAAACGACAGGCGGAACCGGACAUUAUAUAACCAUUUCUACGAACCUGAGGUGGAGGCCAUCUUAACCGGGUGAACGAGGCUUGGAUGAUAUUCAAGCCAGCUCAGUAUGAUUGAUUUAAUAUUGGUAAAUUGAUUGCUAACAAUUAACAAUUACAUUUGGGCAGUAUGUUUUGCCAUUAAUUGUUGAACAUGUUUGGUAUAAUUUUAUUAAUUAGAAUAUUCAAUAACAAUAGAGAGCAUUAUGUUUAUGUUUAGGAACAUGUAGCAUCGAACGUAUUGUUUUACUUUCGGACAUAAUAUGUUCAUUGAGGGUCGCUUGUCGCUUGGUCCAGCCGUUUUCGCUUGUGUUUACUCUAGGUUGAUUUAUUUUAAAAUGUUUUUUUUUUUUUAAUAUCCUACUAUGAUCGUUUAAGUCGUUUGUCCAAGAACAUAUGUUAUAAUCAGUGCAGUUGCAUUUCACUUGAUUGAAUUUGACAAUGUAGUGAACAAAAUUAGUGGAAAAGAGUGUUAAAUCUCAACAUAGAUUGGCGAUAUCUUUGAUUAUAAUUAUUGAUAUUCCAUAUUGCAAACUUUUUGACCCGCAUACUGGGAUUUUUUUCGUUUAUAUUAAGUUUUAGGGAUUUUUAUUACGUUUGAAAAACAUGUUUAAUUGGCAAUAGAUAUAAUUAAAUUUGAUUUAAAAAUUCGGUCGAACGCCAGGCUUAUUUACAAAUUGCACUAUAUGAUUAACAUAAAUACCCUAAUUUACAAUUUUCCUCAUUUUUUUAGCUCCCUUUCUAUUCUCAUCGUGUGCUUUCCUUUUCAAUGCCUGCCUUUUGUUUAACUCCUCUUUAUUUUUUAAAUUAAUGUAGCGCAUACGUAUAAUAAUUCGCUGUUUUGAGAAGGCUUUUACAAUUUCUAAUGGCAGUUCAGGCAAUUUCCUACUUAUCUUAUUGGUUAAUAUUCUUACUAUACUUUUUUUGUUUGAAAACUGUCCAUUCUUAUGCGUUUUUAAAAAAAUGGUUUCCAUUUCACGGCAUACAUCCAAAAAUGUUAUAGAUGGUUGGAAUAAACCUCCAACAGACAGAUGCUGAACAAAAGAAGGAGGAUUAGAAUAACUAUGCUCGGUAUCGUUUUCAAAUGUAUAACAUCCUAAGUAUAGAUCUGGAAAAUUAUCUUUAAAUUUUCUACCAAGGAAUCCAACAACAUACUCAAAUCCAUCUUCCUCUUGUUCAUUAAACUCUGUUAUUGUGCUGCUAUCGGUACUACUAUUAUCAUUCAUAUCAUAAAACAAAUUUGUAUCCUUUUCUACAACGUUCAUGUCUGGCAAAGAUGGUUCAAUAUUUGCUCUUGAAUACAUGAUAGCAGACACGAAGUGUUCAUUGCGGUGGUCAUUUCUGUGAGUAUGUGAGUCUGUUUCAGGUAUCUGUUGCUCAUCGUCAUUGUCUUUGGUUGCUAUGUGAGUUUGGUUUAAUAGGACGGAUGGAGACUUGCCUAAUAUAAUAUUUCUUAUUCUAUAUAGGCAAGCCAAUGGUGAAGGAUGGUCAUAGACACCCCCACGUUGUCUUAAUUGAGAAAAAAAGUUUUCUAAUACAUCUUGGUUUAGCUGAAAGAGAAAAAUAAAUAUAACAGUAAAACAUUGAUACCAUUUAA